rnacentral:rRNA from 1 species
CGGCCUUGACAUACUAAGAACUUUCCAGAGAUGGAUUGGUGCCUUCGGGAACUUAGAUACAGGUGCUGCAUGGCUGUCGUCAGCUCGUGUCGUGAGAUGUUGGGUUAAGUCCCGNAACGAGCGCAACCUUUUCCUAUUUGCCAGCGGGUCAUGCCGGGAACUUUAAGGAUACUGCCAGUGACAAACUGGAGGAAGGCGGGGACGACGUCAAGUCAUCAUGGCCCUUACGGCCAGGGCUACACACGUGCUACAAUGGUCGGUACAAAGGGUUGCUACCUCGCGAGAGGAUGCUAAUCUCAAAAAGCCGAUCGUAGUCCGGAUCGCAGUCUGCAACUCGACUGCGUGAAGUCGGAAUCGCUAGUAAUCGCGGAUCAGAAUGCCGCGGUGAAUACGUUCCCGGGCCUUGUACACACCGCCCGUCACACCAUGGGAGUUUGUUGCACCAGAAGUAGGUAGUCUAACCGCAAGGAGGACGCUUACCACGGUGUGGCCGAUGACUGGGGUGAAGUCGUAACAAGGUAAGCGUAGAUGA